rnacentral:rRNA from 1 species
UACGUAGGGUGCAAGCGUUGUCCGGAAUGAUUGGGCGUAAAGAGCUCGUAGGCGGUUUGUCGCGUCUGCUGUGAAAACCCGAGGCUCAACCUCGGGCCUGCAGUGGGUACGGGCAGACUAGAGUGCGGUAGGGGAGAUUGGAAUUCCUGGUGUAGCGGUGGAAUGCGCAGAUAUCAGGAGGAACACCGAUGGCGAAGGCAGAUCUCUGGGCCGUAACUGACGCUGAGGAGCGAAAGCAUGGGGAGCGAACAGG